GGCACAGAGGAUCGGAAUCUACCGGAGGGUAACGCUCUUCCUCUGGAAGAUAGUGUGGUACCGACUGCCCUGUAAGAAUACUUAAUUUACACCAUCAGAAGCUUGUUAUUCUUUUCUUGUGUGAGUUGUGUACAAAUACGGAAGAGUCUAUUGAUCAUAUACUGUUCGAGUGCCCGACUGCACAGCGGAAUUGGGCUAAGCUGGUAUUCAAUUGCAUGUCUAUCAUGAAUAAGCCAUGGAACCUUAAGAUUUUCCUGUAUCAAGGAGGUGAGACACAGAGAGACAAG
rnacentral:lncRNA from 1 species